ACUUCAAGUGCAGGAUCGACAACUUCAUGCCGAGGAGUGACAUCACUUAUUUUAUUCAGAAACUUGGUAAAGUAAGACCGUGCUCUCGGAUUGAUAGCCGCCUUCAAACCUGAAAGUUAAUAAAACAUUUAGCAAAGUUAAAAUAUCUGCUAUAAAAAAACAAGUGAAACAAGCACAUACCAAUAAAAUCUUUGAGAUUUUUUUGACGUGUACAGUCAUAACAAAGCGCGAGUGGGAAUCUGGUGUGUGAAGUGAUCGAAAACUUCGAUUAUAAGCCGAUCAGCAGCAUCUAUUGAAUGGUAUGACCACGAAUUAAAUUUCAAAGGUUGGUCAAUUCAAUACAAAGGGAAUUUUGGAUAUCUCCAUCAAAAAAGUAUUUCUUUCAUUCUUCUAUCAAAAUCUUUAAAAAAACCUC
rnacentral:lncRNA from 1 species